AUCAGAUGUGAUAUCCAUUCCUCCUCUUUACUCCGCCUUACAGCAGGUCAAACACCAAUCUUCUUCUCCCUCUCGAUGUGCUAUCCAUUCCUUCCUCUCUCCUCCGCCUUUCGCGUUGACUACUCUUAUAACUUGACCCAGGACGAGCUCUGCACCAAGAUCUCACUCUGUGACGCCUUAAUCGUCAGUUGGCUGCCUUAAGGUAAUAGAGCCAAUAAUACUUAUAUUAGAAAACAACAGCAGAGAAAAAAGACCAGAACAUAUAUAGACCAGAAGGAUCAAUCCUCACCGGCUUCAAUGCAUUCUGGUAUUCGCACCACCUUCUUGCCAUUGUCUACAUAUUGCUUGUCGUUCACGGCACCUUUCUCUACCUCGCCCACAAAUGAUACCUCAAGACAGCGUGGAUGUAUCUAGCUGUUCCUGUUUUGCAUUAUGCGGGAGAGAGGACCCUGCGAUUCUUCCGCUCUGGCUUUUACUCUGUUCGUCUACCGAAGGUUACUAUUUAUCCAGGUAAUGUUCUCGCUUUGCAAAUGUCCAAGCCUGCCCAAUUCCAGUAUAAAAGUGGCCAGUACGUGUUCGUCCAAUGCCCGGCUGUGUCUCCAUUUGAGUGGCACCCGUUUUCAAUUACAUCAGCUCCUGAUGAUGAUUACUUGAGCAUCCACAUCCGACAGUUAGGUAACUGGACAAAAGAGAUCAAGAGGGUAUUUUCAGAAGUUUGUGAGCCACCUGUUGCUGGGAGAAGUGGUCUUCUUAACAACUAAGAAAAAGUAUGUAACAUAUUCUAACCUGCAUUGAAUUCAAUAUCUUCUGUGACAUUAUGAUCUUUGUGACAAGUUAGGGAUGAUUGACAUCUAUGCCCCAACUUCAGGGGAAGUGAUGUAAUGCGUACUAUAUGUCGUAAGGGCAUUUAUAUCUUUUUCCCCUCUUUUAUUUUGUACGGUUACCCUAAUCUAUAUAGACAAAAUCUAGUGCCUCCAGCCAGAACUUUUGGUUCUCUCAACUCUUUCUUCGUUUUUUUUCCUCCUCUCUUCUCCCUCUUCUCUCUUCUUAUUUUCUUCUAACUGAAAACAGUGAAUCUUGUUUACCCUAGUUCACUAGCUGUCUCAGACUGGGUUUUGGUGUGGCCUGAAUUCACACAAGUCCAAAAUAGAAAAUGAUGGGGACAGGCUCAGGGAAGUGUUGGGGUUAUAGUUUUGUAUUUUGGAUUUGUUCUGUUUUUUCCCCCUAUCUUGUGAUGUUUCUAGGUGUUGCCUUAACACCUGACCAGUUUGUAAUAAUUUUUUUUUUUUUCUUUUCAUGAAAUCUUUUCUUUUAUUAUAAAAAAAGUCUUUGUUACACUUACUAAUCUCAUGUAUUGCUCUUAGUAUUUGGGAAAGGCUCUUUUCUCUUUUCGGGUGCAAGUGUAAUACUCCUACUUGUGUGGAUGGCCAAAAAGAAGGGGAAGAAUUAUGUGGUGAUGUGCAAGGGAAGCAGUGUUGCGGACUUAUGUGGAGAUGUUUCACUUGUAGGACAGCUUCCUGGCUAAAAUCUCUGGAGCUGUUUUUACCAUUCUCUGUGUUUUACAUAAGAAAUUGGGCUGCGGUAGUAGGUCAUCUUCAAAAUAGAGGAGGGAGAUAUGUGCAUGGACAGGACUGAGCAGGGGCUUCCUAAAAUUGAGCUGUGAUGACAGCAGUGUUGAAAAUACAAGGCCUUCCAAAAUAGGGGUGUUUUCAGAAAUGAGGGAAAUGUAGUUGCAAUGUUUUCAGGUCCAAUUGCUAAUGGGGAUUCAAUAAGAGCUGAAAUUAUGGCGGUUUGGAGUGUAGAAGUCUGUGGAAAUGGAUGUGUCUAAUCAAAUUAUAGAAGGUGAUUCAAAUGUGGUAAUAAGUUGGUUACUGGAUGGGGACAAGUUAUUUGGGCAUACAGAAAUCUGAUGAAGAAGCUCAAGUGGUUGACUAGGAAUCUACAAAUAAAGGUUCAAUGAGUUAAUAGGAAUGGCAAAUGGAAUGGCUGGUAUGCUAGCUAAGCAAGGGGUUAAUAGAAACCAAGUUUUUUGGGCUGAAUUGUAAAAAAUUGUAUUGGGGGAGAUAGCAGUUGCUAUGCUCCAUCGGGUUUAGCUGUUUUGUUUUUUUUUUUUUAAUAUUGAGGGGGAGGGGGGAAUUCUUCAAAAUUGUAUAUUUCUUGUAAAUUUUAAUUAAUGAGGGGGGUGGGCUUCAGUUGGCCCUAAACCCAACCUGGGAUGCUUAAGUUACCAAUCUAGGUUUUGCUGGUGUGGUUGAGAUUUGGGCCAAUAAAUCUCCCAUAUCAAAGCAAAUGGCAGUUCCUUGUAUAAAUUUACUUAAGACUUGGCAUAAACCUUCAAUUUCAUAGCUUGAAUAUUGAGUGCUCACAUUUAAAAACAGUCACCCAGCCAUGAUUGCUCAGUUUAAGAAAGAGGUCUUCAUCCUUGCUACAAGUUAUAGAAAGAAAACUCCCUCCAUCAUCACCCCAAGCUAGCAAGAUCUCAUUAAGAGAAUCAUCCAUGCAAGAUACAUCUAGCAAGAAGCAACCCAUUGAGUAUAGUGUUAUCAUCUUUUUGACAAAGGUCCCCUACAACAAGCAGAUAAAAUUGUUAAUAACUAAAUGUAGGUGAAUUAUUUCUCCUUCCUUUUCAAUUAGUAAAUAAAGGUAAAGAAUCGCCAUAUGUAUGGUUAUCAGGUAGUGGCAAACCACAAAAAUGGCAUGCAUAAUUACAGAUGCCAGAUUCUGUUAAAGAAAAUGAGACAGAUCCUAAUUCUUGAAUGAAGAAAUAGUAGUUCCCAUAAUCCCAUCUACAUAACAUAACACUAGAGAGGAUCUUUUUCUACAGUCUGUGAUAACAACUGCAAAACUAAGGUUCUUAGACUAAGAUCAUGAUUGUAACUUUAUAAAUUUAAUAUAUUUAUCUAUAAAUUAUUUUUAUUGUUUAGUUCAGUUUGCAUCUUUUUUAUAGGUAAUAGAGCCAAUAAUACUUAUAUUAGAAAACAGAAACAAAGAAAAUAGACAAGAACAUAUCUAGACCAGAAGGACCAGUCCUCAAGUAGAAGAAGACUUCAAUGCAUACUAAAAAUAUCUACAUAUUAAAAAUAUGUUUGUGCCCAGAAGAUUACAAAGAACAAUAAACAUAGGAGUGCAGACAGAUAGCAAAGAUGAAGAAAGGAGUUUGCAUUGUCAAUGUUGCUCAGGGUGGUGUGAUUGAUGAAGAAGCCCUUGUGAGAGCACUGGAGGGUGGAAUUGUUGCUCAGGCGGCACUUGAUGUCUUCACAGAAGAACCACCUCCAAAAGACAGCAAGCUGGUGCAAAUUCUUUCUGACAACAGGUUCUAUCGGAGCUUGCACCAUUUGUUGUACUGGCAGAGAAGCUUGGCAGACUAGCUGUAAUCAAAUUCUUUCUGACUACAGGUUCUAUCAUGUCAUCAAAUGCACAUGGUUUGUGUAAAAGUGUUGACGGCUUGGCAUUAUAAAGUUAUAGAUAGGAGGAGCCCCAUUAAGAAUUCAGAGAGACCUCCUAAAAUAUGUGAUCAAUUUUUUAGUCUACACUGCAAAUAGUAUGUGAUAAACAAUUGAUGUUAUUUUUUAGGCAAUUUCUUAUUUUUCCCAAACCAUGUGCUAAUUUCCUGUUCAUCAUCAGUUAAUAUUUUCAUGUACUUUAUUUCUUUGUUUUGAGAUAUUUUGUGAAGUAUAGUUAUGAAACAAA